UACGUAGGGGCUAGCGUUGUCCGGAAUCAUUGGGCGUAAAGAGCGUGUAGGCGGUCCGGUAAGUCCGUUGUGAAAGUCAGGGGCUCAACCCUUGAAUGCCGGCGGAUACUGUCGGGCUAGAGUCCGGAAGAGGCAAGUGGAAUUCCCGGUGUAGCGGUGAAAUGCGCAGAUAUCAGGAAGAACACCAAUGGCGAAGGCAGCUCUCUGGGACGGUACUGACGACUGGAGACGCGAAAGCGUGGGGAGCCGAACAGG
rnacentral:rRNA from 1 species